GCUCCGGUAUCCCAAUUCGGCAGAGGAACACGGCUCAGAACCGUGCCAGUGCAGGUUCGACCCCUGCUCGGAGUACCA
rnacentral:tRNA from 1 species